rnacentral:tRNA from 1 species
UGGCACAGUGGUUGAAGCGAUUGACUGCUAACCAAAAGGUUGGUGGUUCAAAUCCACC